rnacentral:piRNA from 1 species
UGAGCGCUCGUGUCAUGAUUUGGUUGUUGU